UACGUAGGGGGCAAGCGUUGUCCGGAUUUACUGGGCGUAAAGAGCGCGUAGGCGGAAGCUUAAGCGUGCCCUGAAAGCCCCCGGCUCAACCGGGGAGGGCGGGUGCGAACUGGGCUUCUUGAGGUCGAUAGAGGAGAGUGGAAUUCCGGGUGUAGCGGUGAAAUGCGUAGAUAUCCGGAGGAACACCAGUGGCGAAGGCGGCUCUCUGGGUCGGACCUGACGCUGAGGCGCGAAAGCGUGGGGAGCGAACGGG
rnacentral:rRNA from 1 species